rnacentral:lncRNA from 1 species
AUGGAGGAUCGAUAGCAAAUCUACGAGUCCGUCGAGCACGAGCACGGAGCACCUGUGGACUGUUAAGGUUGCUUUCGUCAGUGACGCUGUGCGGUGCAUGUCUGAUGUCUCUGUGAAGUCUGAAACCUGAAUGCAUGGGUCGGGUCGUGUCAGGGGCUCACCUCUUUAUCUUUAGUCCGAGCUGACGUGUAGGAGUACGAGCUGAUGUGUACGAUUGCACAGUGCUCGCCCAUGCGUUUGUAUAUGUCGUACGGACGCAGCAUCUUUCUUGGUUCCCGGCAAGUUUUGGAACGAUCCUGCUGGCUGCGGCAUGCACAUGACCCCUGCCUCAUUAUCAUUCGCGCUCACAUGCACGGGUUUUCUCCUACUAGGAGGACAUGUUGGUAGUUAGCGGUAGGCUUAACAACAAAGGUCUUGUUUAGUUGGCAAAAAUUUUUAUUUUUGGAUACUGUAGCAUUUCGUUUUUAUUUGACAAACAUUGUCUAAUCACGG